rnacentral:rRNA from 1 species
AAGUCCUCAUGGCCCUUAUAGGUGGGGCUACACACGUCAUACGAAUGGCCGGUACAGAGGGUAGCCAACCCGCGAGGGGGAGACCAAUCCCACAAAGCCGGUCGUAGUCCGGAUCGCAGUCUGCAACUCGACUGCGUGAAGUCGGAAUCGCUAGUAAUCGCGGAUCAGCAUGUCGCGGUGAAUACCGGUUCCCGGGUCUU